rnacentral:rRNA from 1 species
CACGCCGUAAACGAUGAGUACUAGGUGUAGGAGGUAUCGACCCCUUCUGUGCCGCAGUAAACACAAUAAGUACUCCGCCUGGGAAGUACGAUCGCAAGAUUAAAACUCAAAGGAAUUGACGGGGGCCCGCACAAGCAGCGGAGCAUGUGGUUUAAUUCGAAGCAACGCGAAGAACCUUACCAGGUCUUGACAUCCCGAUGACCGCUCUAGAGAUAGAGUUUUCCCUUCGGGGACAUUGGUGACAGGUGG